UACAGAGGGUGCGAGCGUUAAUCGGAAUUACUGGGCGUAAAGCGUGCGCAGACGGUCAUGUAAGUCGGGUGUGAAAGCCCCGGGCUCAGCCUGGGAAUUGCAUUCGAGACUGUGUGGCUAGGGUGCGGAAGAGGGAAGCGGAAUUUCCGGUGUAGCGGUGAAAUGCGUAGAUAUCGGGAGGAACACCAGUGGCGAAGGCGGCUUCCUGGCCUGUUCUUGACGCUGAGGCGCGAAAGCUAGGGUAGCAAACGGG
rnacentral:rRNA from 1 species